UACUGCUAUUACUUGGCGCCAAAAUUAGUGGUGUAACGCAGUUAACUGCGAUAACUAAUGCGAAUUGCGGACACAUUGAGCACAAAAACCUUCGAACGCACAUUGCGCCAUCGGGUCCUUUCCCGUUGGUACGUCUGGUUGAGGGUCA
rnacentral:rRNA from 1 species